AUUGAACGCUGGCGGCAGGCUUAACACAUGCAAGUCGAGCGGGGGAAGGUAGCUUGCUACUGGACCUAGCAGCGGACGGGUGAGUAAUGCUUAGGAAUCUGCCUAUUAGUGGGGGACAACAUCUCGAAAGGGAUGCUAAUACCGCAUACGUCCUACGGGAGAAAGCAGGGGAUCUUCGGACCUUGCGCUAAUAGAUGAGCCUAAGUCGGAGUAGCUAGUUGGUGGGGUAAAGGCCUACCAAGGCGACGAUCUGUAGCGGGUCUGAGAGGAUGAUCCGCCACACUGGGACUGAGACACGGCCCAGACUCCUACGGGAGGCAGCAGUGGGGAAUAUUGGACAAUGGGGGGAACCCUGAUCCAGCCAUGCCGCGUGUGUGAAGAAGGCCUUAUGGUUGUAAAGCACUUUAAGCGAGGAGGAGGCUACUCUAGUUAAUACCUAGGGAUAGUGGACGUUACUCGCAGAAUAAGCACCGGCUAACUCUGUGCCAGCCGCCGCAGUAA
rnacentral:rRNA from 1 species